AGGAGUCAAGAGGCAAAGGAAUCCCAGCAUCACCUGUAAUUUUCUGAAACUGGAGGGAAAGACAAAAGACAAGGCAAAAAUUCAGUGAUGAACAAAGACAACCAUUAAAAAGUAGAGUUCAAAACUUCAAUGUUACUCUGUGAUCUUAUUAACACAGUCAACUGAUUAUUCAGAAGACUUCAGAGACAUUUUUUUUCUAAUUAUAUCUUGCCAAGUGAUUCUCAACUUAACCUAGCUAUAUCCAAGGCUAUGUCAGCUACAUUUUCAGACUUUGGUGAUUGGGGUAGUUAUUACCCAUUUCCUUUCCCUCACUAAGAAUGAAACCCUACUCUGUGGACUACUAACAGUAGAAUUCAUCUGGGGACGACCUAGUAAAUGAAAAUCUGACUGAUCUAUACCAGCCAUUGUGGCCAGCUGCCCAAGCCUGGACCAAAGGAGGAAAGGAGAAAAGACAAAGGUUAUUAUAAUCACAUAAGAGCAGUUUAGAUUUCCCCAGACCUACCAUCAUGAAAUACUUCUAAAAUCUUAAAAGCCAACAUCCUACUCCAGACUACAAGCCUCUCUCUCCCCCAAAUUCUCAGCCCUUUCCAGAUUCAUCCUCUAGGAGACAUCCCACUGUCUCACUAGCAGCUUCAACAUGUACCAUGCACCCCGUCCACUGCCUGUCACACCUCCAUUCCCACACUUCUUUACCACCUUUCCUCCAGUUUCCAAGAAUGUGUUUGUUCCUUCCUUACCAACACAAAUUCAUUCACUGACAAAACACCACUCCAUCAACUACCAAUCUCCACUUCCCUCUUUCAGCAAAAGUGCUCCUGGUUGAGAACCACUGACCUAUAUCUUCCCUGCAGAUUAAUAAUAAUUUUUAUGUUUAAGACAAAAAUAACUUUAAUUCAAACUUAUCAAACAAGCAAAAUAAAUGAAAGAUAGGAAAAUUCUUAUCCAUUCCCGAAUAUUUUCAAUGAAAACUGCCUUCAAUUUAGUCUUUACAAAAAACUAUACCCACUAAUUACUCUGUCUACAGGUUACUCUUUUAUAAUGGGCUCCCCACUCUACCAAAGCAGGCUCCCCUAUUUGCAUUUCUUAAAAAAUUUAAUUCCUCAUUUUAAAAUGUCAACUAUAUUACCUAUAAUUACACUAAAUUUGGCUAAAUAUGGCUACAUAAGUGAUGAAAAUUGCUCCAGUUCCUCAGCAAACUACCAUUAUAGUCACAAAGAGAAGAAUGCCAUGAAGAGAAAUGAACUAACCCAGCAUCUUUAAGGAUAUCUAAGAAAGCAUGCAACUUCUGAAAAGAAUUCUCAAUGCUGCCCAAAACACCUUCAUCAUCCAGGAUCAUGCUUGUCAAUGAGUGGGCAUGAAGGGCUUCAGACAAAGAGAAAUUUAUAUUUCUUAACUGGGCAUUUUCAUGUUCCAGCUAUAAAAGAAGACUGAAAAUGUCUGACAUGAUUUUUUCUCAUUGUCAUCAAAAGUAGUCUUGUCUAGUUUCAAGGAACAAAACUAAAACACUCAAAAUGUAAUUAAUCUGUAAUUAACCUAACUCUCCACCAGGAAAGACAGAGACCAUAUCACAUAAUAACCAAAACCCCCAGGCACCCAACAAAGUUUCCUAUAUAACACUUAGGUGGUAUAUAAAUAAAAGUUAUCGUUUUAUUAAUGAUCUUUCACAAAAGAUCACAUUUCUAACUGGUUAAAUUCAUAAUGGAGCCUCAUUCCACAUCAGAAAAUUACCUGCUUUAAGUUUCCCUUAAAUUAGAAAGUGAAUUAUAGAAUCUGAUUUGAACAAAACAUAUUACAACUCUGCUGAAUGUUAAGAAUUAACUUUAGUGAGCAAAAUAUCUAAUGCUUACGUUUAAAAGUCCUAAAUCAUACCCAACCCAAUUUAUUAAAUGUACGAUCACCAAUAUUUUUUUAGGAUUCUUGAAAAUAUUCACUCGCGUGCACUCUUCCCCUUCCACUCAUCACCUAUGCACUUAAAACCCCCUAUAAGCUCAACUCUAGUAUUUCUCAGAAAAGCUGUUAUGUUCAUGAUGCCCCUUUUGCCUUAUAUAAGCAGGUGCUCAACAUUUAUUGAAUGAGUGUCCGCCAAUCCAAUGGAUGCACUUUGGAAAAUUCCUCCCUACGCUCAACCUAUGAUAAAGUAUAUUUAUAUAGAACUUUUUAGAUUAUGCCCUGCUUUCAUGCACAUUACCUAAUGUAAUUCUUAUAGUAUAUAGUUUUAUCUUUCAUUGCAUUUUUACAAGUUUUCCAAUAUCUUAAAUUUAUUUAAAUGAUUCACUUUCCUAAUUCAUUGCCAGGAGAGUCUCAUCAUGCCUUUUAUGCUACUGUAUAUACAGUAUAUGCACAAAAAGUGCUUUCUUUAAUCAAAGAAUCAUGAACAGAAAAUAAGCUAAUGUCAUAUGAAAGCACACACACACACACACACACACAAAACGAGAUUUUCACAUUUUUAAAAACAUGCUUUCUGGAAUAUAGAUCAUAUGAUCACUAAAUACCAGUAAAUGCAAAAGUCCAUAUGACACAACCAAUUUGCAACAUAUUACAGUUUUAAAGUUUACAAACUAUGUGUAUAUGGCUUAAAAUCAAAUCAAAAUAAAACCAAAACACUCUCAAAAGUAUAAGAAAUUGUUUGCCUCAUUGACUCAUUUAUCAGCCUUAAGUCUUAUUACUCUUUCCUCCUUUAACUGCUUUAGGCACUCCUCCAGUUUUUCCUAAACAGAGUAAAUAUUAUAACUAAUUCGUAGUAUAAUAUCUAAAAGCCUUUCCAGCUAUAGGUCUUAUCAGGAUUUAGGGGCAGAGCCAGAAGUGAACUCAGAUUUUAGUCUGCUACUGGUAAUAUCAUACCAUGCUAGUGAAAUGAAUUAUCAAAAUCUAUCAAAUUAGCAUAGUAAAGAUUUAUUUAAAUUCCACUUUUUCCAACAUAAAUUUGUGGCAACCUACCAUAAAAGGCAUAUGCGUAUAACAUAGCAAGUCAGAAAUAAAUAGUUAAGGCCAAGAAAGAAAAAUUCUAUUUUUAUUUGUGGGUCUCUUUAUAGUAGGAAGUCCUAUUAAUGAACAUGCUUAACAUACCUGAAUUGCAUAAUUGCAGAUUCAAAAGCAUUUUUUUUUAAAGUAAUCACUUUUAAAGCAAUUUACAGUCGAGCUCUGUUCUUGGAGUUCCCUGGGCAUUAAAUAGUCUAAUCAUCAAAACCCUAAGAGGGGGCUUCCCUGGUGUCGCAGUGGUUAAGAAUCUGCCUGCCAGUGCAGGGAACACGGGUUCGAGCCCUGGUCCGGGAAGAUCCCACGUGCCCGGAGCAACUAAGCCCGUGUGCCACGACUACUGAACCUACGCUCUAGAGCCCCUGUGUCACAACCACUGAGCCCACGUGCCACAACUACUGAGCCCACGUGCCACAACUACUGAAGCCUGCGCGCCUAGAGCCUGUGCUCUGCAACAAGAGAAACCACUUCAAUAAGAAGCCCGCACACCACUACGAAGAGUAGCCCCCGCUCGACGCAACUAGAGAAAGACCGUGAGCAGCAUCAAGCACCCAGCGCAGCCAAAAAUAAAUAAAUAGGGCUUCCCUGGUGGCGCAGUGGUUGAGAGUCCGCCUGCCGAUGCAGGGGACACGGGUUCGUGCCCCGGUCCGGGAAGAUCCCACAUGCUGCGGAGUGGCUGGGCCCGUGAGCCAUGGCCGCUAAGCCUGCAUGUCCGGAGCCUGUGCUCUGCAACGGGAGAGGCCACAACAGUGAGAGGCCCGUUUACUGAAAAUAAAUAAAUAAAUAAAAUAAAUUUAUUUAAAAAACAAAAAACCUUACGAGGAAAGAACAAUCACUAACUCCAUGUUAUUUUACAGAUGAGGGAAACAGAGGCAGAGAAGUAGAGUAAGUAGAGCAGCACAGCCAAGGUCACACCACUAAGUAGCAGAGCCACACUGUGGACUCAGGAAGCUGGGUGCCAUUCCUAUUCACAGAGGUGGUAGUCUUCCCAUUCACCAAGAUCAAUAAAAUAAAAUGAACACUGAUAAACUCUCUCAGGAGUUUUAGGAACUAAGACACUUCAGUCCUUGAAGUGGGGACACUGCUUGCAAUGGGCAGAAUUCUAACAGAGCCCCUAAGACUCCUACUUACUGAAGUACACAAACCUUCCACUUAUCCAAUCAAACCCUAAAUCUGGGUGCUGCAGUGAAGGGAUUUUGCAGAUGGAAUUAAGAUUCAAAAUCAGUUGAUUUUUUAAGAUAGGGAGAUUAUUCUAGGUGGAUGUGACCUACUCAGGCACCCCAUGAAAAGGACCUGAACUCUUCCUGAAUUGAAGUACAAAAGGGAGGGAGACUCUCCAUUGCUGGCUCUGAAGAAGUCCAAUGCUGUGGCAGGGAAGGCAAGCGAGAGGCCUCUAGGACCUGAGACUGCCCCCCGACUGACAGCCAGCAAGGAAAUGGGGACCUCUCUCCUGCAACUGCAGAAUCUGAAUUAUGCCAACAAGCCAAAGAAGCUUGGAGGCAUUCUUUCCCAGAGCCUCUGGAUGCUAACACAGCCAGACUGACAUCUUGAUUUCAGCUCUGUGACCCACACAAACUAUGGUGAACAUCCAACAUUUGGGGCUCAAUGUUUACACUUAAAUUUCACGUGCUUUAACACUCUCAGGAGGGAACCACGUGUUUCAGUGUGUAUCUGAGCAGGAAACCCAGUCACGCUGUGCCUGGACUUCUGACCUGCAGAACUGUGAGCUAGUCAAGUAGGUAUUGUUUUCAGUCAGUAAGAGUGUAGUAAAAGAAUUAAUAUUCUACUCAACCUCCAGGUUCAUGAACAAAAUAAAUGAUUGUCAUUGUUUUA